CACGUAGGGGGCAAGCGUUGUCCGGAUUUAUUGGGCGUAAAGAGCUCGUAGGCGGCUCAGUAAGUCAGGUGUGAAACCUCCAGGCUCAACCUGGAGACGCCACCUGAUACUGCUGUGGCUAGAGUCCGGUAGGGGAGCGUGGAAUUCCUGGUGUAGCGGUGAAAUGCGCAGAUAUCAGGAGGAACACCGGUGGCGAAGGCGGAUCUCUGGGCCUUACCUGACGCUCAGGUGCGAAAGCUAGGGGAGCGAACAGG
rnacentral:rRNA from 1 species